UCAUUUCCUAAGUGAUUCUAGAUUGUGUCU
rnacentral:piRNA from 1 species